rnacentral:rRNA from 1 species
UGGGGUGCUCGAGUGGCGAACGGGUGAGUAACACGUGGGUAACCUGCCCUUGACUUUGGGAUAACUUCAGGAAACUGGGGCUAAUACCGGAUAGGAGCUCCUGCUGCAUGGUGGGGGUUGGAAAGUUUCGGCGGUUGGGGAUGGACUCGCGGCUUAUCAGCUUGUUGGUGGGGUAGUGGCUUACCAAGGCUUUGACGGGUAGCCGGCCUGAGAGGGUGACCGGCCACAUUGGGACUGAGAUGCGGCCCAG